GGCUGAGAGAUGGAAGUGGGAAAAGAGUAAACCUUUAAGAUAGUGGAAAAUAAAUAAACCGUGGCGGUUCUUACUCCUAGCAAAGAAGCAUGUUGGUGGGAAAUGAAUCUGCACAAACAACCCGUUUUCUGCUGGAUAUAAAAACCAUUCUGUACACCGCUAUCAUGAAAGAGAGGCUAAAAGGUCAUGCUCUACCUCCAUGUAAAUAGUGGAAUAAGGUAAGUAAAGGUGCAGACAAUGCAGAUAUGGUCAAUGUGCCUCAGUAAUAAAAUAUACAAUGGAUGUCGGCUGAAACCUCCGCCUGAAAAAGAAUUUGCUAGUAAAGAGGGAGGAAAGAAGCCCUCUUGAACAGGAAAAGAGGAACGU
rnacentral:rRNA from 1 species